AUUGAACGCUGGCGGCAGGCCUAACACAUGCAAGUCGAACGAGUGGCGGACGGGUGAGUAAUGUCUGGGAAACUGCCCGAUGGAGGGGGAUAACUACUGGAAACGGUAGCUAAUACCGCAUACCAUCGGAUGUGCCCAGAUGGGAUUAGCUAGUAGGUGGGGUAACGGCUCACCUAGGCGACGAUCCCUAGCUGGUCUGAGAGGAUGACCCGCCCAACUGGGACUGAGACCAGGUCCCAGCCCCUACGGGAGGCAGCAGGGGGGAAUAUUUCACAAUGGGCGCAAGCCUUAAGCAGCCAUGCCGCGGGUAUGAAGAAAGCCUUCGGGGUGUAAAGUACUUUUCGCGGGGAAGCGUUACCCGCAGAAGAAGCACCGGCUAACUCCGUGCCAGCAGCCGCGGUAAUUC
rnacentral:rRNA from 1 species